UACGAAGGGGGCUAGCGUUGCUCGGAAUCACUGGGCGUAAAGGGUGCGUAGGCGGGUCUUUAAGUCAGGGGUGAAAUCCUGGAGCUCAACUCCAGAACUCGUUCUUGAUACUGAGAUCUUGAGUUCGGGAGAGGUGAGUGGAACUGCGAGUGUAGAGGUGAAAUUCGUAGAUAUUCGCAAGAACACCAGUGGCGAAGGCGGCUCACUGGCC
rnacentral:rRNA from 1 species